rnacentral:tRNA from 1 species
GGUUCUAUAGAGUAGUGCUUAGCACGUCUGCUUUACAUGCAGAAGUUCCUGGGUUUGAGCCCCGGUGGCGCCA